rnacentral:rRNA from 1 species
UGGGGAAUUUUGGACAAUGGGCGAAAGCCUGAUCCAGCAAUGCCGCGUGUGUGAAGAAGGCCUUCGGGUUGUAAAGCACUUUUGUCCGGAAAGAAAUCCUUGGCUCUAAUACAGUCGGGGGAUGACGGUACCGGAAGAAUAAGCACCGGCUAACUACGUGCCAGCAGCCGCGGUAAUACGUAGGGUGCAAGCGUUAAUCGGAAUUACUGGGCGUAAAGCGUGCGCAGGCGGUUUGCUAAGACCGAUGUGAAAUCCCCGGGCUCAACCUGGGAACUGCAUUGGUGACUGGCAGGCUAGAGUAUGGCAGAGGGGGGUAGAAUUCCACGUGUAGCAGUGAAACGCGUAGAGAUGUGGAGGAAUACCGAUGGCGAAGGCAGCCCCCGUGGGCCAAUACUGACGCUCAUGCACGAAAGCGUGGGGAGCAAACAGGAUUAGAUACCCUGGUAGUCCACGCCCUAAACGAUGUCAACUAGUUGUUGGGGAUUCAUUUCCUUAGUAACGUAGCUAACGCGUGAAGUUGACCGCCUGGGGAGUACGGUCGCAAGAUUAAAACUUAAAUGAAUUGACGGGGUCACAGCUGUUUCCU